rnacentral:misc_RNA from 1 species
AGAAGCAGCAGCAGCAGCAGCAGAAGAGGAACCUUUAGCCACAGAUUUACGAGCAAGCGUCACUUUCUUCUCAAACACAUGGACCACAACAGAUUCAAUAUCUUCAAUUCUUGAAAUUUCAUCAACCAUCCUCUUUUGGCAUGUCACACAUCCUAUAUCAGCUGCUAAAACAACUUCCUCAACCGGAAGCAUUGUCGGAGAAGUUUCUAGUGGAGGAAGGAGUAGUCUAUUAUUG